UACGAAGGGGGCUAGCGUUGUUCGGAAUCACUGGGCGUAAAGCGCACGUAGGCGGAUCUUUAAGUCAGGGGUGAAAUCCCGAGGCUCAACCUCGGGAACUGCCUUUGAUACUGGGGAUCUCGAGUCCGGGGAGAGGUGAGUGGAACUGCGAGUGUAGAGGUGAAAUUCGUAGAUAUUCGCAAGAACACCAGUGGCGAAGGCGGCUUGACUGUCCGG
rnacentral:rRNA from 1 species